AGCUCCAAUAGCGUAUAUUAAAGUUGUUGCAGUUAAAAAGCUCGUAGUUGAACCUUGGGCCUGGGCGGGCGGUCCGCCGAAAGGCGUCGUACUGUCUGGCCGGGCCUUUCCUCUUGGUGAAUCGGCGUGCCCUUUGCUGGGUGCGUCGGGGAACCAGGACGUUUACCUUGAGAAAAUUAGAGUGUUCAAAGCAGGCGUCGCGCCCGAAUACAUUAGCAUGGAAUAAUGAAAUAGGACGUGCGGUUCUAUUU
rnacentral:rRNA from 1 species